CCCAGGGCCGGGCAUGAGCCCGGUGGCCCCGGGCGCCCCGGGCUCGGGCGGGUCCUGCGGGAGGCGCUGGGAGAGGCCGGAGCUGCGGGAGCUGCGGGAGCUGCGGAGGGGCCGGGACAGGGUUCUGACCUCAGCCCACUCCAGAGUUGGUGAACUCUAGGGAAGGGCUUCCUGUUGGAGAAUGGCUGCAGGAGCAGGGCCAUGAAUCCUUAGAGUGCCUGCUCCAGCACUCCCCUGUCUAAGACCCCAGAACCAAGCACUGUGUCUGGCCUGGGAACAGAGCCUGGGAACAGCAUUUUGCCUGGCCUGAGAACAGACACUGUGCAAGGCUUGGGAAUGGCACAGAUAAAAAAGGCAGCAUAUCCUUGAAGAUAUGAGUAGUACAAGACCAGAGUGUGAAACAAGAUGUGCCCAGCAGGAUAAGAUGUGCUGGGAGUACGUGACUGAGAGAAGAAGAACUUGGCUUGAGAAACUUGGCUGCAGCUGUAACCGUACAUAGAAGAAAUUCUAACAAAGACCUUUGUGAAAUAGCCAAUGAGAGCUGUUGCUGGCUUUGCUUGUAGAAAUCCCUACAUAAACUGUAAGAAUCUUUGAAUAGACUUGAGGCUUGCUUUUCAAUUAUAUUGAUUGUGUGCUUGUCCUCCCUCACUGCCCAACUUCAACUCCCCAUCUGGGAAUUUCAGAUGGGAUUGAUUCCUUAAAUUUACAUUUAAGAAGUGACAUUUUGUUGUGAUCUGGCCAGACUAUGCCAGUUUUGUUUUACCAAUGGGCAUAGUGUCUAGGUUUGGAAAGACAGGUGUCUGCUAAGGAAGGCAGGGCCUCCCCUGGAAUGGAAAAAUGUAGACCCCCUUCCCUCUGAAUUGUUAUAAAUUUGAAAUUAAGGGGGGCUCUCAGGCAAAAAAUAUGGAAGCAGGAAUAACAGUUCUUUAUUAGGGAAGAAAAUAAAAAGAUAAAAUAAGCAAUGCAGUGAACCAAAACAGCACUGACAGAGUCAGAAUACAACCUGACACCCUGUUCGGUGUUGGUAGCAAUCCAAUUGGAAUUGUAGCUGCAGUCCUCCUGGAGUGUCAGGUGUGCUUCUGUUGGAGUAGUGAUCUUGUAGAAAAAGGGUGUAGUCUUCCUCCAAAGAGGCAGUGGAAGAGGCAACUGUUUUUCUGGGAAAAUCCAGCGCAGAAAAAGCUGUGCUAGUGGGACAGAAUCUCAAGACGAUAUGCAGGUAGGAAUGCUUAGCUCCUCUCUCUUACAAUCUUAAAAUGGGAUGUUACAGCUUUUAUCAGUCAUGCAGUGACAUUCAAUAGCCCAUUAUCAGCAGAUGUCUCUCCAGAGGGAGGAUUGAUUGUGGAAGGGAUAAGGAAAAACUGCCCACUUAACACAAGACAACUCUGCCAUAAAAAUGGCAAGUAGAAUACAUCUUGCUUUUCAAUCUGAGACACAGGGUCAGCACCAAAGACACAAACACCAACUGAAGGAAUCAGUGUAAUUACUGUAGUUCAAAGCAGCAAAGAAUCACAGAAGGAGAAGCUCAGCAAUGCACCCAAUCGUCACUACCAAAGAUUGCCUGCAGUGAUUAAGAAAGAUCCAUCACUCUUGCAGUAAGGGUGGUUGCAACAAACCUCUUUGGUUCCCUGACUUCAGAGCGAGCGUGGUGAAAAUGAAAAGGAGGAGGUUCGAUGGGGUUGCCUGGAAAGAACUUUAAUAAGGGUGCAAAACAACAAACAUGGAGAAGCUGAGCACAGUAUGAGGGAAAAUAUCCAAAGACCCAUAACAAAGUGGAAGCAACAACAUAUACACUUGGAGGUGGAACAUUCUGGAGCUAUAGCCAUAUAGGGGAAACAAGUAAUCAGUAGGGGAGCAGAACUUGGACCCCUUAACAUAGUAACACCAAAGGCUUAUGGGGGAACUCAGGCUCGCCAUAAGUUAAACAAUUGAUUCCCAGGUCUUGAAAUGAAUACCCAGUUCGUCUGGGGUAAAAUCUGGCUGACUUUGAGUCACAGCCGGGCCAAUACCCACAUCUCCCCCUGUGGAUGCCAGCCAGGUCAGGGAGAGAGAAACAGCAAUCAUUUCUCACAGUGGCUUGUGAGAAUUUUUAGGGAGUUGUAGGAAUGUGAUAACUUGUUAGUAUAAACAAUUUGCAGGUGGUGAUUUGCUACUUUGUUUUUCUGUUCUCAAGGAUGGUGUGUAAGAAAAAUGUUUUUAUUAACUAGCCAAUCAAGUGGAAUAUAUCAUAUCGGUCUAUAUAAGCCGGAGAAUCCAUUGUAUUAAAACUUCUUUUUUUCCUCUUGCAA